rnacentral:rRNA from 1 species
AUGCUUUGGUGCCUUCGGGAACUCUGAGACAGGUGCUGCAUGGCUGUCGUCAGCUCGUGUUGUGAAAUGUUGGGUUAAGUCCCGCAACGAGCGCAACCCUUAUCCUUUGUUGCCAGCGGCUCGGCCGGGAACUCAAAGGAGACUGCCGGUGAUAAACCGGAGGAAGGUGGGGAUGACGUCAAGUCAUCAUGGCCCUUACGGCCAGGGCUACACACGUGCUACAAUGGCGCAUACAAAGAGAAGCGACCUCGCGAGAGCAAGCGGACCUCAUAAAGUGCGUCGUAGUCCGGAUUGGAGUCUGCAACUCGACUCCAUGAAGUCGGAAUCGCUAGUAAUCGUAGAUCAGAAUGCUACGGUGAAUACGUUCCCGGGCCUUGUACACACCGCCCGUCACACCAUGGGAGUGGGUUGCAAAAGAAGUAGGUAGCUUAACCUUCGGGAGGGCGCUUACCACUUUGUGAUUCAUGACUGGGGUGAAGUCGUAACAAGGUAGGCGUAGUGCU